rnacentral:lncRNA from 1 species
AGACAGAGCAGCUGCUGUUCCAGCAACAGCAGCAACUGCCGCACCCUUGAAAGGAGGCCCCUGCCGUGUGGACCCGUAAAAUAAAAUGGAUGCAACUUCUCCAGGAGUGCUUAUGUUACCCAAAGAGAAACAGAUGCACAAAGAGAAGGAAUGAGAUGCUCGGGGAUAUUUUAUCAAGGAAACCAGCAAACCGUCUUUUUCCUGAAGACCUUUUAAGAUUAGGACAAGCAGCUGUUUAUAAAAGCAGAACAGUGUUAAGAUUUGAACUGUAAAGUAGGAUCAUGCUUUGAAGUAUAUUCUAGCUAAAAGCAGGGGAUAAACUAGAUAAAACUUGGAGACUCUAAGACCUGACCCUGAUUAAGUGGGCCUACAAGUGAGAAUCUGAAGAACAGCUCUCUGGCUGAACAUAUCCCUUGGAUGUUGUUAUUACCAGCUGCCUCUAGAUUUGAGAACAGUGCUGAGCAUGCUUUUAAAUGAUCUUUGAGGUACUUUAAGCUAGCUACACCUGAAAGCAUACCUAGCCCUCAUUUCUGUUUGCUUGAACAAGAGCCUGAAAAAGAAGUCUAAAGAACUUUCUAGUGAUAUCCUUCAGUCCUGUUCUAAAAAGAACCUGUGUUCUUCACCGAGUUAAGGAAAUUUCACAACUCCCAGGGGCUAAUGUGGAGUUCAUUUUCACUUACUGCUGAAUCAACUGAAGUUCCUUUCAGAGUCUUUUCCUAGAGUGGAAAAGUAUCUGAGCUCUUCAACCUACUAUUCAUUAGUGCUGAGAGACAAAAAUCAUGUUAGAGUCUAUAAUGUAAUGGAGCAUAAAACAUUUAAGUUAUGAAUCUGCAUAAAAUGUGUAAAAGAUGAAAAAACAUACUUUAAUGUUUGUCAGUACUUAUUGAUCAGUGAAAGAACAUUUUCAUUAAUGCCUCAGCCUGUGAAUGGAUGUCAAUAAAGAUGAGUGAGAAGGUAUUUCAUA